GACGAACUGUGCAAACGUUAUUCGGAAUCACUGGGCUUGAAGAGUGCGUAGGCGGUUUUGUAAGUAGGGUGUGAAAGCCUCCGGCUUAACCGGGGAAUUGCGCUCUAAACUGCAAGGCUGGAGUGAGGUAGGGGUGUGUGGAACUUCUAGUGGAGCGGUGAAAUGUGUUGAUAUUAGGAGGAACGCCGGUGGCGAAAGCGACACACUGGACCUUGUCUGACGCUGAGGCACGAAAGCCAGGGGAGCAAACGGG
rnacentral:rRNA from 1 species